rnacentral:misc_RNA from 1 species
AUGCUCUAGAGCAUAUUACUAACAUGAUUAAUUGCUUUAGGCUAGGUGGUUUUUCCCCCCUUCUAUUUUAUAUUACUUUGUUGAAGAUGAGCUACAAAAGUCUUUUUUUAUGUGACUGAACCUAAUCACAGUGGCAAGUUGUUUGGCAGGUAAACUUUACCCUUCGUCCCUGAAUUUAGGGUGUUGUAACAACUGAACUUAGAUUUGUAACAUAAAGCCCUUAAACUUAAUUUAGUGA